rnacentral:rRNA from 1 species
AUUGAACGCUGGCGGCAGACCUAACACAUGCAAGUCGAGCGGGGUUUUCGGACCUAGCGGCGGACGGGUGAGUAAUGCGUAGGAAGCUACCCGAUAGAGGGGGAUACCAGUUGGAAACGACUGUUAAUACCGCAUAAUGUCUACGGACCAAAGUGUGGGACCUUCGGGCCACAUGCUAUCGGAUGCGCCUACGUGGGAUUAGCUAGUUGGUGAGGUAAUGGCUCACCAAGGCGACGAUCCCUAGCUGGUUUGAGGGGAUGAUCAGCCACACUGGAACUGAGAAACGGUACAGACUCCUACGGGGGGCAGCAGUGGGGAAUAUUGGACAAUGGGCGCAAGCCUGAUUCAGCCAUGCCGCGUGUGUGAAGAAGGCCUUCGGGUUGUAAAGCACUUUCAGUAGGGAGGAAGCGUUGUGUGUUAAUAGUACACAGCGUUGACGUUACCUACAGAAGAAGCACCGGCUAACUCUGUGCCAGCCGCCGCCGUAAAAC